GACGAACGCUGGCGGCGUGCCUAAUACAUGCAAGUCGAACGCACAGUUUAUACCGUAGCUUGCUACACCAUAGACUGUGAGUUGCGAACGGGUGAGUAACGCGUAGGUAACCUGCCUGGUAGCGGGGGAUAACUAUUGGAAACGAUAGCUAAUACCGCAUAAUAUUGAUUAUUGCAUGAUAAUUAAUUGAAAGGUGCAAUUGCACCACUACCAGAUGGACCUGCGUUGUAUUAGCUAGUAGGUGAGGUAACGGCUCACCUAGGCGACGAUACAUAGCCGACCUGAGAGGGUGAUCGGCCACACUGGGACUGAGACACGGCCCAGACUCCUACGGGAGGCAGCAGUAGGGAAUCUUCGGCAAUGGACGAAAGUCUGACCGAGCAACGCCGCGUGAGUGAAGAAGGUUUUCGGAUCGUAAAGCUCUGUUGUAAGAGAAGAACGGGUGUGAGAGUGGAAAGUUCACACUGUGACGGCAUCUUACCAGAAAGGGACGGCUAACUACGUG
rnacentral:rRNA from 1 species